rnacentral:rRNA from 1 species
GACAGAGGGUGCAAACGUUGUUCGGAAUUACUGGGCGUAAAGCGCGUGUAGGCUGUUUUGCAAGUCGGAUGUGAAAGCCCUGGGCUCAACCUAGGAAGUGCACUCGAAACUGCAGAACUCGAGUCCUGGAGAGGAAGGCGGAAUUCUCGGUGUAGAGGUGAAAUUCGUAGAUAUCGAGAGGAACACCGGUGGCGAAGGCGGCCUUCUGGACAGUGACUGACGCUGAGACGCGAAAGCGUGGGGAGCGAACAGG